CUCUUUCUCUUUCCUCUAUCUCGCGUUCUCUCUCUCUCUCCUUCCUCCUCUCUCCUCAACUAGAUCUCCCUAUUCUCUCUCUCUUUCCUCUCUCCACCGUGCCGUCGUCCAUUCCUCCCGCUUCCCUCUAUUCAUGUCCUAGCAACGGCGGCAGUGGCGCUAGGAGCUGAUACAAACCCACCUCUCGUCGUUUCCCCCUCGCGAAAUGAUUUUCCCUGAAGUGGAGCGAACCUGGGUACGGGAUUUAACUCGGGUAUUGAGGCCAUGUGAAGGUUGGGUAUGGUAAUGAGUUUGAUGACGAUGAGGUGUUGAGCUUUUGUCUGACUCAUACCCCUACAAGGAACUCUUCAAUGGAUGCCUUUGGGACGUAGAUGGAAAGUGGACUGUUAAAGGUGGUGUUGAUGUCAACAUUAGUGCCAACCCUUAUGCUGAAAAAUGGGUAAACGUCUCAAGGAAUAAAUAGUAAUGUCUAAGGGGGUUGUAUGAAGAUAUGUUGAAUUCACUCAGAUGUUACCAAGCUAAGGAUUCUGUUCUGAAUUUUAAAUCUGCUGUUAAUGUUCCUCUGUUGUCUCUUAAUGAGGCUUUGUUUUGUUUGAAAUCCUAAAUCUGAUGCAAGGUCUAAGGGGGUUGUUUUGUUUGAAAUAAUGAUGAUGAUUUUGCUACUUGGAUUUGAAAAAGAUCUCGAAAAGAUGCAAUGUUUUAUUGUUUUGGUUGUAAUGAUGAUUUUGCAGCUCGAAUUAGAUAAUAUAUUAAUAGUUGUUGUCGUUAGCUACUUUUUUUCGGGAGCUAUAUAUAGAGUGAGAGGGUGGGAGGUGGAGGUUUGGCUUCUACUUGAAUUUUUUUCAAACUGAUGAAUAUUGCACUUGUACAUUAGCAGUAUAUGGAAUGAAGUGCUCAAAUGUGUUAUGAGUCUCUUUCAACGUUCUGUCAAUUUGGGCCCUGUGAUGUCUCUUGAAUCUUUAUUGCUCAUAAUGUGCAGUGAACAUGUUUAGUUCUGCUUUGAAAAAUUGAGUCUGCAUGUCUAGCACCAGGUCUCCUUGUUUAUUGGCUAUUUAAAGAUGUGUAGUGGCUGUCCCUUCCAGCCUUCCUGCUUUUUACAUAAGAAAUCAUGAAAUUUCUUUUGCCUUUUGUUUAGUUGUUUGUGCAUGGAUGGAGUUGCUAGUUACUUUCAAUAUCUAAUCUCUUUGAAAGUGCACACCUGUCUUCUGCCCUUUUAAUGCAUAAAUCCUAAUGAUCUGAUAUACAGAAUUUAUCUUAUGCAUUAUGCAUAUUUUAUUUUUAAUUAUUUUACCCUCAGCUUGUAGAUCCUAAUGUUUUUCAUUACUUUUACAAAAUUCAUAUCCUUGACCUCUUUGAAUUUUGAUUAAUAAUUUACUUAUCUUAUGUUGAAGUUCCUGAGAUUUGGUCACAUUUCCUUUUCUUUGUAUAUAUCUUAGACAUGGCUAAAUUAGACCUUUCUUGACUACCUUUGAGAUGAUUUCAAUCAUAUUUUAGAACAAAGUUAAUGAUAGGUAAAUUUAGAGAAGUUAAGUCCAUUGAAAUAGAUUUUUAAAAUCAAAAGUUAACAUAUAUGCCUAGAUGUAUGCUUAGAGUAUACAAAUAGAUCUUCCAGUUUCUUUUUUUUUUUUUUUUUUUGAAUAAUGAUUUUGCAGUUUCUAAUUUCAUGUGUUUGAUAAUUUCUUAGGCUUUUUGUUUGUUGCUCUGAUACUCCGUAUCUUGCUUAGGGAAGUAUCAAUUAUUGACAAGUAUACUUUUCACACAGGUCAGAAAAAGACUUGGAUUUUAUGCUUGCUUCAUUUAGCGAUCACCAGAUUUAAUAUCACUUCUGAAGCUUGCAGGUCCACAAAGAGGGACAAUUGCAUUCAUCGCUUGAUUGGAGUGGUGGAGCAUUCUAGAUCAAUGUCAGAGGAGGUGACAAAAGAGAAAAUAUACGAAGACUAUUGGAAGAUUUUAUCUAUACGCAAGGUUGCUGCUGCCUCGUAAGGCUGCUGCAGCUGCUGCCUCGCCAAGGCUGUUUCAUUGGUGUGACUUUGCUUGUAUUUAACAGUGACUAGUAUUUUUUUUAAGUUUUUUGGACCAAAAUUGUAAUAUUAUAGCCUUUUUUAAUGAAAAUAUGUAAGUAUAUAUAUAUGUUA